rnacentral:rRNA from 1 species
GAUGAACGCUGGCGGCGUGCCUAAUACAUGCAAGUCGAGCGAACAGACGAGGAGCUUGCUCCUCUGACGUUAGCGGCGGACGGGUGAGUAACACGUGGAUAACCUACCUAUAAGACUGGGAUAACUUCGGGAAACCGGAGCUAAUACCGGAUAAUAUAUUGAACCGCAUGGUUCAAUAGUGAAAGACGGUUUUGCUGUCACUUAUAGAUGGAUCCGCGCCGCGUUAGCUAGUUGGUAAGGUAACGGCUUACCAAGGCGACGAUGCGUAGCCGACCUGAGAGAGUGAUCGGCCCCACUGGAACUGAGACACGGUCCAGACUCCUACGGGGAGCAGCAGUAGGGAAUCUUCCGCAAUGGGCGAAAGCCUGACGGAGCAACGCCGCGUGAGUGAUGAAGGUCUUCGGAUCGUAAAACUCUGUUAUUAGGGAAGAACAAAUGUGUAAGUAACUAUGCACGUCUUGACGGUACCUAAUCAGAAAGCCACGGCUAACUACGUG